rnacentral:rRNA from 1 species
AAGUAUAAGUGAACUUAUACAGUGAAACUGCGGAUGGCUCAUUAAAACAGUUUGAAUUUAUUUGAUGAAUGUAUGAGAAUACUACUUGGAUAACCGUAGUAAUUCUAGAGCUAAUACAUGCAACGACGCCCGACCGUUUCACUACGGAAGGGCUGUAUUUAUUGGAUACCAAAACCAUCCUUCCCUCGGGAAGUUUUGUUUGAUGAUUCACAAUAACUGAUCGGAUCGCCACUGUGGUGGCGACAGGUCAUUCAACAUUCUGCCCUAUCAGCUUUCGAUGGUUGUGUAGUGGACAACCAUGGCCAUAACGGGUAACGGAGAAUCAGGGUUCGAUUCCGGAGAAGGAGCUUGAGAAUUGGCUACUACAUCUAAGGAAGGCAGCAGGCGCGCAAAUUACCCAAUCCCGAUUCGGGGAGGUAGUGACAAAAAAUAACAAUACCGGGCCUUUUUGGGCUUGGUAAUUAGAAUGAGGGAGAGUUAAACGGACCAUCGAGUAUCCAUUGGAGGGCAAGUCUGGUGCCAGCAGCUGCGGUAAUACCAGCUCCAAUAGCGUAUAUUAAAGUUGUUGCAGUUAAAAAGCUCGUAGUUGGACUUGUGUGCGCUGUCCGCGGGUGGCCUGCGCCCAAGAGGGCGUUUCGGUUCGGCCCCGGUGGCGCCUUGAAAUCUGCAGCUGGGGGGACGUUGGCCUUAACUGGUCGGCGACCGCACGCCGGCUGCUCGGUUACUGUGAGAAAAUUAGAGUGUUCAAGGCAGGCAUUGGGUGCAAUUGAAUACAUUAGCAUGGAAUAAUAAAAUAUGGCUCCUGCCGUAUUUUGUUGGUUUUGACUGGUGGGAGUAAUGAUUGAUAGGGACGGUUGGGGGUGCUAGUAUUGAGCGGCCAGAGGUGAAAUUCAUGGAUUCGCUCAAGACUAACUUAUGCGAAAGCAUUCACCAAGGACGUCCUCUUUAAUCAAGAACGAAAGUUGGGGGAUCGAAGACGAUCAGAUACCGUCGUAGUCUCAACCAUAAACUAUGUCGACUUGGGAUCGGCGGUAGUUUUUUCAUUAAGACACUGUCGGGACCACGGGAGAAAUCAAAGUGUCUGGACUCUGGGGGAAGUAUGGUCGCAAGGCUGAAACUUGAAGGAAUUGACGGAAGGGCACCACCAGGAGUGGAGCCUGCGGCUUAAUUUGACCCAACACGGGGAAACUUACCAGGUCCAGAGAUGUAGAGGAUUGACAGAUUGAAGCUCUUUCUUGAUCACUUCGGUGGUGGUGCAUGGCCGUUCUUAGUUGGU